UAGUGAGGGAGGGGGUGACUAGUGACAUAGUGAGAGAGGGGGUGACUAGUGACAGAGUGAGGGACGGGGUGACACAGUGACAGAGUUAGGGAGGGAGUGACUAGUGACAGAGAGAGGGAUGGGGUGACUAGUGACAGUCACCCCCUCUGUCACUCUGUCACUAGUCACACCCUCUCUCACUCUGUCACCAGUCAUCCCUUCCUUCCCUCACUCUGCCACUAGUCAUCCCUUCCCUCACUCUGUCACCAGUCACCCCUUCCUUCCUUCAC